rnacentral:ncRNA from 2 species
UACGAAGGGUGCAAACGUUGCUCGGAAUCAUUGGGCGUAAAGCGCACGUAGGCGGCCUGUUAAGUCGGAUGUGAAAUCCCUCGGCUCAACCGAGGACGUGCAUUCGAAACUGGCAAGCUCGAGUAUGGAAGAGGGUCGCGGAAUUCCCGGUGUAGAGGUGAAAUUCGUAGAUAUCGGGAGGAACACCAGUGGCGAAGGCGGCGACCUGGGCCAAUACUGACGCUGAGGUGCGAAAGCGUGGGGAGCAAACAGG